GGCUAUACCUGUGGCAUAUGGAAGUUCCUAUGUCAGGAGUCAAAUUGGAGCUGCAGCUGCCAGGCCAAGCUACAGCAAAGCCAGAUGUAAGCCACAUCUACCACCUGCAACCUAUCCCAUAGCUUGCAUCAAGGCUGGAUCCUUAACCACUGAGCGAGACCAAGGAUCGAACCCACAUCUUCAUGGAUACGAGCUGGGUUCUUAACCCACUGAGCCACAGUAGAAACUCCUCCUCUAUAUAUUUUUAGUUGUCAACAUGGGAUACUCAUCUCCUGUGGAGGGUAAAGGGGAGCUGCUUGUAAAACAGCAUUUAAGAGCCUGUACCCCUAAACAGUAUCUCCAGCCAUGUACAAUAAGAUUAGGGUUAUCAAAUGUAAAAUCAGGAUGCAAUAACUGAUCAAGGGUUUCUUUUAAGUGAUCAUAAAAUAAGUCAAGUAUUUACUAAAUACUCAGUAUGGUGAAUUAAAUACAAAAGAAAUUAACUUUUAACUGAGGACUUAUGGCAUACCAGGGACUUUACAUAUGUUCUCAUUUAAUUGCAUUCUCCACAGAGACACAGGUUCAAUCCCUGGCUCAGCACAUUGAGGUAAAGGAUCUAACACAUAGGUCGCAGCUGCAGCUCGGAUCUGACCCUGGCCUGGGAGCUCCAUAUUCCUCAGGGAAGCCAAAAAAAGGGGGAAAAACUGAGCCUCAAAUAAAUUAUCCCUGCAAAGUUACCCAGUGAGAGAAUUUGAACCUAUAGUUCCAAGGCUCCCAAGUCUCUUGUCUUCAAAGCCUCUCUAAGCAAGGACUUUGUGUACCCCAAUCACAGCUUCCAGAGCUUGGUGUAAUUGCCAACAUUUGAAAUAUUCUGCCCCUCUGAUUCUAAAAGGCCCCCAAAUGACCCAGAAAUGCCAGCACUCCAGAAUUCAAAACUUACUGCCUAAAUAACCUUUUGUCUUCAGAGGUAGCAUCUCUCUUUUAUCAAAUUACAUAGAAUUAACCAAGUCCACUGCUUGAAACUUGGAAUGGAAAAACUCCACUGCUGCCAAAGCAGAUAGUGGAUGGGCUGGGCUGUUAGAAGGGACAGGGAGCAAUGUCAUCUGUGUCACCUUUGUGCUCAGUGGAAGAGGUCAUCUUCCUUGGAGCUUGGGGACCACAACAGGAUCAUCAUCUGGAUUUGCAACGGCUGAGGCUAUACAGAGCCAGCUUACCCCGAGGCACUGCCUUCAUCUUCUGAGACUUCUUUAAAGUCAUCUGUUCAUGGGAAGGUGAAUGUAUGACAAUGGCCUUGACUUCCAGAUUCCAGGGAUUUCUAUGGGGUAGCGAGCACUUCCUCCCACAAGCCUCAGGGCUCUGGACCUCAAGGGGGCUGCCCUUUGGCCCAGAUGCCUGCAGGGUCUAGAGAAGAGUGACAGUCGUGAUCCCGUGAAGGGCAAAAAGUGAGCUCAGGGGCUUCCCAGGACCACUCUGGCAGCUCUUUGGUCAUCUCUUCCUCUGUAGAGCAGGCCUUGAUGUUUCAGCUGCAUAAAAAUGUUAUGAGGAGAAGAAAUAAAGACUUGGCACUGGAGAAAAGGCUU
rnacentral:lncRNA from 1 species